AAAGGCUCGUGUUCAGUAAAGCAUCCCGUUAAUUCCUACAGUUAUAUAGAUUAACGAGCUACAACUUCAACAUAAAAUAUCGAUCAAAGUUCUUUGCUGAAAUGAGUCAUAACAUGAAAUUAGUGAUUUUUGCAUUUCUGUUGAUUCUGUCUGUAUGCCAAGCAUGUGGAUGCCGAAAUAAUUGUUGGACAGAUAUUAAGUAUCGUGACGAUUAUUGUUCAGAACUAUUCAGAUACCAAUACACUACUAUGGAUCCAGCAAAUGUGUUGUGUUAUUGUUGUAGAAGCAUUUUAAAACGUUCGCAGGUUAUGAAAAAUGAUUAGUGCAAUAAACGUCGAACCAACUGCAGAAGUUCAAGAAGAACUUUACAGCAUAAUAUAAUACUCAAAACAAAAAUACUGGAUAAAACAAAAACUCAAUAAGAUUCAACCUAUGAAACAAUUUAUAAUUAAAUAAUUGGGAAUAGGUAUAGAAUUGUUUUUAAUUCUUCAUUUUAAGACCAUUUAAGACCCAGACUGGUCAAGAUUUAUAUUACAUUUUUUUUAUGAUUCAAAAUAGAAAAUUUAAUUUCAAUAUAAUUCCAU